UACGGAGGGGGCUAGCGUUGUUCGGAAUUACUGGGCGUAAAGCGCACGUAGGCGGCUUUGUAAGUUAGAGGUGAAAGCCCGGGGCUCAACUCCGGAACUGCCUUUAAGACUGCAUCGCUUGAAUCCAGGAGAGGUGAGUGGAAUUCCGAGUGUAGAGGUGAAAUUCGUAGAUAUUCGGAAGAACACCAGUGGCGAAGGCGGCUCACUGGACUGGUAUUGACGCUGAGGUGCGAAAGCGUGGGGAGCAAACAGGG
rnacentral:rRNA from 1 species